CGAUGGGGUAGAGGCGCAAGAUUCAAGAGUACGCUGUGCGAGGAUGACAACUAAGACCGCAGCCGAAAGGGAAUGUUGCCGAAGCAUGAUUAGUGAGUCAGAACUAAUCUUGCUGGGGUUACUUCGAAUAGGAGUAACACUGUCAUUAUGAGGGGAAAGUAUGAAUAUACUUUGUCAAAGCCUUCAUAAUGGGGAGCUACAGAUCGU
rnacentral:ncRNA from 2 species